CGUUUGUUUGUUUUAUCCCCUCCUCUCUUUUCACCAGCGGAGGCACAAUGAGAAUCCCUCCAACGUGAAGUUCCUCGCAGAUAAAAUGAUGAUCGGAACAGGUUUCUGUGGAGUCAUUGGUCCUUUUUCUUCCUGUUACCUGAGUUCUUCCACACCUGCACUGCACCUCCUUCAUCUGCUCCUCCCUGUUCGCACUGUUUUUUCAGCCUACCAGCUUCUUCCUUGUUUCUAGUUUUUUUCCAUUCCUGACCUCACUCCACCUGCAACUCAUCACUUCGUUAGUUUGGUUUGUAUUUAAGUCCGGUCCUUCGUCCAGUCAUCUGUUGUUUGUCUGUUCCUGUUGUGUUUCCCAGAUCCUGUUGUGUCUUUCUGGAGUACAUUUUUGAGUCAGAGGUCUAUUUUUAAUUUGCCGUUUUUUCCUUCGUUGCAACUCUUCUGGUUUCGAUUGUGUGUAUUGAGUGUGGGGAGGAGAGCAUGGAGCAUCUCUGCUACGGAUCUGAAGGUGGCAGCUUGAAGAAAAAGAAGCACCACCUGUCUAUUGACAACAAUACAAUGAUGAUGGAGCCAAACCAACAGCUACAUGAUGAAGUAUCUGCUGUGCCUCCCGCUUUAAAACUCCUCUUCUGACCUCCACGAGCAUUUUGAGGUUCAUUGUUGAAGAGGCAGCGGAGGAGGAGAUGAUGACGGAGGUUUCGACGCCAGACAUACACACUAUGAAGCCCGGUACCUCGUCUCCCACACUGACACAAAGAUGCACAACCAAAGCGAAGCUACGAGGAGCAGCGAGCUCAGAGUGUCCAAACAUCAACAUCAUCAUUGCACUGAACAUCAUUUCAUGCUGAG